rnacentral:rRNA from 1 species
AUACGAAGGGGGCUAGCGUUGUUCGGAUUUACUGGGCGUAAAGCGCACGUAGGCGGAUUGAUAAGUUAGGGGUGAAAUCCCGAGGCUCAACCUCGGAACUGCCUCUAAUACUGUCAAUCUCGGGACCGGAAGAGGUGAGUGGAACUCCUAGUGUAGAGGUGGAAUUCGUAGAUAUUAGGAAGAACACCAGUGGCGAAGGCGGCUCACUGGUCCGGUACUGACGCUGAGGUGCGAAAGCGUGGGGAGCGAACAGGAUUAGAAACCCCAGUAGUCC